rnacentral:rRNA from 1 species
SUCAACCGCAAGGAGGGGGAUGCCUAAGGCAGGGCUAGUGACUGGGGUGAAGUCGUAACAAGGUAGCCGUACCGGAAGGUGUGGCUGGAUCACCUCCUUA